GUGGUUCGCAAGAUUUUCAUCUACACCAAAGAGGAGGUUCAGAAGAUGGAUCAGGGUACCCUUGACUCCAGAGCUGAAGAGACGACUGUUGCAGAAGAGAGAAAUCUGAUAGAACUGAAGGGGCAAUCUACGACAACGACUGCUGAUUAAGACAACUGAUGGGGGGCUACUGCUGCAGUUUAAGAUGUUUUUGCUUGUCUGUAAAAAUAAAAGAGUGAUUUAUCCUUGUGCUGUGACCUUGUUGAAAACAAGUUUGAUAGUGUUGAGUUCGCCUGAUGUUGCUCAAGUUUUGGUCCUACCCUUUUCGCUCAGGGUAAUCUCUGUCGUUUUCUUUGCUCUUCAUCUUAGGUUGCGAAGAAAAGCGGCGAGCGGCCUUGGUCUUUCUUUCUAGUAUGUAAAUAUUUCGGCAGCCUAUCUAUAGAUAAUGAUGUAGAGGCCAUUUAGCUAGCUUGUUGUGCUGGAUGUCUUAUUUCAAUCAGCUUAUAGUUUGGAACUCCU
rnacentral:misc_RNA from 1 species